GAAUAGCCCGAAAAGAUGUGAGAAAAAUGAGAUUUGGAAUAAAGGAUUCUUAAUAGUCACCGGCGGAGACAAUAGUGCGCCAGCGAUGACCACCACCGAUGAUAGCAUCCUUCGAACAAACUAAGGCCCAAAAAGCGUAGUCAGAGAAGAAGAAAAAACAAAAAUUUUACCAAACAAAAGAAAAAAAAUUCGAUGGAAAGAAUAAUUAAAGAAGUCAAUAAGAGGGUAUCUCUGUAGU
rnacentral:lncRNA from 1 species